GCCAAAAUAUUUAUCAUUCUUUGAAGCUUUGCAAGGGGGAAGGCUAAGACAUGGAUCAAAUUUUCGGAAACAAGCCGUGUGGACUCAAAUUAAGUGCGGAUGAAACCCUCUGAGGCUCUGACCAUAAAGGUAGGACAGAUGGGAAGCAGCAUUUCAGAGCGUAACGACAUGGUCCUGACUGCGGUAGGAUAGAUGGGAAGCAGCAUUUUCCAUCCUCCCGCGCCAGACCAACUUCGUCAUUUUCUGGUGAGAUGACGCCUCCUUAGUCUUCUUCAUGGCUCCAUGGACGUGGUCCUGACUGCGAUUGGUGUGAAGUGAGCACACAUUUGUUGAUCGUUAGUCUACCGCUUGUUUCCUGUUCUCUUCAUUACUUCCUUCCUGCCGUACCACUGUUAACUUGCAGGAUCGCGACAGUUACUGGAAGAUGAUGAACAAGUACAUAGGAUCAGAUGUAAUGUCAGUUAUUACACUUCUAAUCAUCAUCUUUGAGCCUUUGGGAAAAUGGCAGAGGUUUGUACUGAUGGACUAUGCCCUUAAGUUUCCCUCUAUACCACGCUGGAACGUCUAGACCACAAGAGGAACAUAAACAUUUUGAUGUUAGAGGUUCUCACAUCCUGAAGACACAAUACUUGCCAUAUGGUGUCAACCAAGAACUUUUUUGCUUUGGCUGUUGAAGAUAUCACAUUUUCUCAAUCUAUCUACCAGGAUGAACUCUUGCAUCUUGAUAGAUAAUCUUGCUAUUCUGAUGUCUGGUCAUGCAAACUUCCUUUUUUCUUUGAGAUUUAAAAAAUAAAUUGCGGAACAGGUGGGUGAAAGAA